UCCUUGGCAGUUCAGUGGUUAAGACUCUGCACUUCUGCUGCAGGGGGCCCAGGUUUGAUCCCUGGUCAGGGAA